rnacentral:rRNA from 1 species
GGAAACAGUUGCUAAGACUGGAUAGGAAAUAAAAAGGCAUCUUUUUAUUUUUAAAAGACCUUUUUCGGAAGGUAUGCUUAAAGAGGGGCUUGCGUCACAUUAGUUAGUUGGCAGGGUAAAGGCCUACCAAGACUAUGAUGUGUAGCUGGACUGAGAGGUUGAACAGCCACAUUGGGACUGAGACACGGCCCAAACUCCUACGGGAGGCUAAGCAGUAGGGAAUUUUCGGCAAUGGAGGAAACUCUGACCGAGCAACGCCGCGUGAACGAUGAAAGUAUUUCGGUAUGUAAAGUUCUUUUAUUGAAGAAGGAAAAAAAUAGUGGAAAAACUAUCUUGACGAUAUUCAAUGAAUAAGCCCCGGCAAACUAUGUGCCAGCAGCCGCGGUAAUACAUAGGGGGCGAGCGUUAUCCGGAAUUAUUGGGCGUAAAGGGUGCGUAGGCGGUUUAAUAAGUCUAUAGUUUAAUUUCAGUGCUUAACACUGUCCUGCUAUAGAAACUAUUAGACUAGAGUGAGAUAGAGGCAAGUGGAAUUCCAUGUGUAGCGGUAAAAUGCGUAAAUAUAUGGAGGAACACCAGAGGCGUAGGCGGCUUGCUGGGUCUUUACUGACGCUGAGGCACGAAAGCGUGGGGAGCAAACAGGAUUAGAUACCCUGGUAGUCCACGCCGUAAACGAUGAGUACUAAGUGUCGGGAUUACUCGGUACUGAAGUUAACACAUUAAGUACUCCGCCUGAGUAGUACGUACGCAAGUAUGAAACUUAAAGGAAUUGACGGGACUCCGCACAAGCGGUGGAUCAUGUUGUUUAAUUCGAAGAUACACGAAAAACCUUACCAGGUCUUGACAUACUCUGCAAAGCUAUAGCAAUAUAGUGGAGGUUAUCAGGGAUACAGGUGGUGCAUGGUUGUCGUCAGCUCGUGUCGUGAGAUGUUAGGUUAAGUCCUAAAACGAGCGCAACCCUUGUCAUUAGUUGCCAGCAUGUCAUGAUGGGCACUUUAAUGAGACUGCCAAUGAAAAAUUGGAGGAAGGUGAGGAUCACGUCAAAUCAUCAUGCCCCUUAUGAUCUGGGCUACAAACGUGAUACAAUGGCUGUUACAAAGAGUAGCUGAAACGCAAGUUUAUAGCCAAUCUCAUAAAAGCAGUCUCAGUUCGGAUUGAAAAUCGAAUUCCCGCGGCCGCCAUGGCGGCCGGGAGCAUGCGACGUCGGGCCCAAUCGCCCCUAAAUUAGU